GUCCUCUUUCAGGAUUGGCUGCCCCUUCAUAACCAUAAGAUAAUUAAAACGAGGGGGGGGCAGGGUUAAAAAAAAAACUUUUUUAUCAGCCAGAGGUUAAUGCAAGUGUUUAACAGAUGCUUCACUAUUAAAAUAUUUUCCCCUAAGUCUCAAAUAUUGAAGAAUCUCAAAUCAGGGACACCAGCCUCGGCGAAGACCUUGGGCGACUUCAAAGCGCAGGCACCUCGAUUCCCCGAAUCUAUGUUGUGUGGCGGGUAUCGGUGUUCCCCUGGUUUAACUAGCCUGUUUGAAGGCGCAGAUCCUUCUUGGGGAAGUCUCACUGAAACCAGGUCUCCCUGCUCUCCCAGGGGCUUCGGUUUUCCCAGUCUGCCUCUGCUUGUGACUCCAGAAAGACAAACUUCCGAUUGGCCAAGAGAAUCCACACUUCUUGGUUUCCACUGGGCCCAAUGUAAAUGCCAUCUCCUCCAGGAAGCUUUUCCAGGUAUGACUUCUCUUCUUUCUGCUCCCCAAAUGAAGUCUCCCUUUUUCUGA
rnacentral:lncRNA from 1 species